rnacentral:rRNA from 1 species
UACGUACCGAGCGAACGUUGUUCGGAAUCACUGGGCUUAAAGGGCGCGUAGGCGGGCUGUCAAGUUUGGGGUGAAAUCCCGCGGCUCAACCGUGGAACUGCCUCAGAUACUGACGGUCUCGAGGGAGGUAGGGGCGAGCGGAACUGAUGGUGGAGCGGUGAAAUGCGUUGAUAUCAGCAGGAACUCCGGUGGCGAAGGCGGCUCGCUGGACCUUUUCUGACGCUGAGGCGCGAAAGCGAGGGGAGCAAACGGG